UGGGGAAUAUUGGGCAAUGGGCGCAAGCCUGACCCAGCAACGCCGCGUGAAGGAAGAAGGCUUUCGGGUUGUAAACUUCUUUUCUCAGGGACGAAGCAAGUGACGGUACCUGAGGAAUAAGCCACGGCUAACUACGUGCCAGCAGCCGCGGUAAUACGUAGGUGGCAAGCGUUAUCCGGAUUUACUGGGUGUAAAGGGCGUGUAGGCGGGACUGCAAGUCAGAUGUGAAAACCAUGGGCUCAACCUGUGGCCUGCAUUUGAAACUGUAGUUCUUGAGUACUGGAGAGGCAGACGGAAUUCCUAGUGUAGCGGUGAAAUGCGUAGAUAUUAGGAGGAACACCAGUGGCGAAGGCGGUCUGCUGGACAGCAACUGACGCUGAGGCGCGAAAGCGCGGGGAGCAAACAGGAUUAGAUACCC
rnacentral:rRNA from 1 species